rnacentral:rRNA from 1 species
AAACUUCGGUCGAGUGAAGCCAUAGAGAGCGGCGGACGGGUGAGUAACGCGUAGGCAACCUGCCCCAUACAGAGGGAUAGCCUCGGGAAACCGGGAUUAAAACCUCAUAACGCAGAGAGUUCACAUGGACUAUCUGCCAAAGAUUCAUCGGUAUGGGAUGGGCCUGCGUCUGAUUAGCUAGUUGGUGAGGUAACGGCCCACCAAGGCUUGGAUGCGUAGCCGAUCUGAGAGGAUGAACGGCCACAUUGGAACUGAGACACGGUCCAGACUCCUACGGGAGGCAGCAGUAAGGAAUUUUCGGCAAUGGGGGAAACCCUGACCGAGCAACGCCGCGUGAGUGAUGAAGGUCUUCGGAUUGUAAAGCUCUGUUGUCAGGGACGAACGGUAUUCCUAGGAAAUGAGGAGUAUUUGACAGUACCUGGCCAGAAAGCCACGGCUAACUACGUGCCAGCAGCCGCGGUAAUACGUAGGUGGCAAGCGUUAUCCGGAAUUAUUGGGCGUAAAGAGUGAGCAGGCGGCAGUUUAAGUCUGAAGUGAAAGCGUGAAGCUCAACUUCAUACAGCUUCAGAAACUGAACAGCUAGAGUACGGGAGAAGUAAGUGGAACUCCAUGUGUAGCGGUGAAAUGCGUAGAUAUAUGGAAGAACACCAGUGGCGAAGGCGACUUACUAGCCCGAGACUGACGCUCAGUCACGAAAGCGUGGGUAGCAAAUAGGAUUAGAUACCCUAGUAGUCCACGCUGUAAACGAUGAAAACUAAGUAUUGCCGCGAGGCAGUGCUGUAGCUAACGCAUUAAGUUUUCCGCCUGGGGAGUACGCUCGCAAGAGUGAAACUUAAAGGAAUUGACGGGGGCCCGCACAAGCAGUGGAGCAUGUGGUUUAAUUCGACGCUACGCGAAGAACCUUACCAGGACUUGACAUGGAAUUUAAAACUCUAGAGAUAGAGCCAUAACAAGUUCACACAGGUGGUGCAUGGUUGUCGUCAGCUCGUGUCGUGAGAUG